rnacentral:rRNA from 1 species
UACAGAGACUGCAAGCGUUAUUCGGAUUCACUGGGCGUAAAGGGUGCGCAGGCGGCCAAGUGUGUUAGGCGUGAAAGCCUGAGGCUUAACCUCAGAAUUGCACCUAAAACUACAUGGCUAGAGCAUUGGAGAGGGUAGCGGAAUUCACGGUGUAGCAGUGAAAUGCGUAGAUAUCGUGAGGAACACCAGAGGCGAAGGCGGCAUCCUGGCCCUGACCUGACGCUGAGGCGCGAGAGCGUGGGGAGCAAACUGG